rnacentral:rRNA from 1 species
UACGUAGGGUGCGAGCGUUGUCCGGAAUUAUUGGGCGUAAAGAGCUCGUAGGCGGUGUGUCACGUCGGCCGUGAAAACCUGCAGCUUAACUGUGGGCGUGCGGGCGAUACGGGCAGACUGGAGUACUGCAGGGGAGACUGGAAUUCCUGGUGUAGCGGUGGAAUGCGCAGAUAUCAGGAGGAACACCGGUGGCGAAGGCGACUCUUUGGCCUGUAACUGACGCUGAGGCGCGAAAGCGUGGGGAGCAAACAGG